CCUGGGUAUGUACUGUUUGUGCAUCUGAGCGUGGCUCCCGGAUGGAUCUGCGCAAGGAAUAAAGAGAGCUGACUUACAACCACCCUCCACCUCACGUGUGCAUCUCUUUCCUCAUCAACGGACUCGGCGGAGACAGGCUCCAACAACUCCUAAUUUAGUGCCUUACUAACAAAACAUAGUAAUGUUUAGAUAGUAUGCUGUUCUGAUAUCUAGUGUGAUUUGUGUUUGUUUGUGUGUGUUUUUUGCACAGAAAAAUAGUCUUGAACAGUGCCCAAUUUGCAUAAAGGACUUUGCUACUGAUGAAAUAGAGACAUAUGCCAGUUUUUGUGAUGAGGGGUGAGCUGUAUAUAAUGUUGCACACCUUUUAAGUAACAGUAGAUUUGAUUUCACGGAUUAAAUCAGCCUUCUACAAGUGGAAACGUUGACAGGCAUCCAUCACCUUUACACAGCGUUUCAGACAUGCAAGAAUUGAUGACCACAUCAGACCCCAAGAGAGCUGCAUUGCUUUUUACUCAAGAAUUACUGUGCAAGGCAGAGAGACAUGCUGAACCCUUGUGUUUGACUUUGGACAUACACAAAAGUGCUGAGGAACAAAGCAGUCUGUUCUUCUACAAAAAAGGCAACGUCAACUGGGCAUCUCCUCUUUAGUGCAAACUAAGGGGUGAUUCUGCUGGUGGUGACGGUGUGACCCUCUAUGUCCUCUCUACCAUCUGUCAUAAACUUAGAAAUGGAUUCCACGUUAAUUUAGGUACUUGCAGGUAUUCUUAAAUGUGUAUAUGUGUGUGCGUUCACACGUUGAAGUAUUUACAAAACUAACAACUUCUCUUACAGGUAACAUGGAUGUUACUGUACUAGGCUGUUUGAGGGAGAGCAGGGUCACCUUGUUGCAAGUACAUCCUCUUUUCUAGUUGAAAAUGACUUGUUCUUAGCGGCUGGCAGGAUGGUGGCACACAGUUUGCCAGGACUAAGUCCAGCAGUAUACUAUGUUUUAACAGGAGUUACGCCAGAAACAGCGACUUUAAAACUAGAAGACUGUCCUGAUCUGGAUGUUCAGGACACUUUACAACUGCUAUGUUGCACAAGGGUAGCAUUUUUUAAACAACUAUGUUGUAAAUUAAGAUUUUUUUCCUGUAUUUUUAUAUAGCUGCAGAAAGAUGACAGAAUAACUGAUUUAGAUAGGGAGAAAAAUCUGGAGCUUUGUCUGUCAUGGGAUCUCCCUGGUGUCACAGGUGGCAACAGGAAGUGGCUCUUCGAACGACUGCUUCUCCAUGCUGUAUUACCGAACUAUUUUCUCUCAGAUGUUAUAGUUUUAGCAAUUGUGAACAAUGUUACAAGUAUGAACAGCAUCGUAUUUAUUGUAUUCCUGACAGAUUUUUGAACAGAUAUAUUUCUGAAAUUAAGUUCCUAUACUCUUUGGCUUAUAAGCCUUGAUGUAGUUUAUAUCUUCGUUAUUAAGAUGAAUUGUUACAGUAUGAAUAAAUAUGACUACAGUUCUCUGUAUAACCUACUCCUAUGUUAUGGACCUAAUUUCCUAUAUGUAUUAGGCCAGACACACUAAAACAGAUGCGCAGGGGUCUGAAGGAGACAGGACUAUGGCCACUUUUGAUGUUGAUGUUUUUUUGAUGUUGUCCCCCACAAGAGGCUCCUACUUAAACUCAAAGCGACAGGUAUUUUAGGUACCGUAGCAACCUGGAUUGAUAACUGGUUAACAGAUAGGAAACAGCGAGUAGUUAUAAGAGGCACAAUUUCACAGUGGGCCUGCGUUCAUAGUGGGGUACCGCAGGGUUCGAUUUUAGGACCACUAUUGUUCCUAAUUUACAUAAAUGAUAUGGAUACCAAUAUAUACAGUAAACUGGUGAAAUUUGCAGAUGACACCAAGGUGGGUGGUGUAGCAGAUACUGAAUUAGCGGCUCAGCAGCUACAGCGGGAUCUUGAUUUAAUUAGUGAAUGGGCCGAUACCUGGCAGAUGAAAUUUAACGUCGAUAAAUGUAAGGUACUCCAUCUAGGAAGCAGAAAUAUAAAGUACAGGUAUUUCAUGGGUGUCACUGAAAUAAAGGUAGCUGAUCAUGAGAAAGACCUUGGUGUGUAUGUUGAUGCUUCCAUGUCCCAUUCUCGCCAGUGUGGGGAAGCAAUAAAAAAGGCCAAUAGGAUGUUGGGGUAUAUCUCCAGGUGUGUGGAGUUUAAGUCAAGGGAGGUAAUGCUAAGAUUAUACAAUUCCUUGGUGAGACCUCACCUAGAAUAUUGUGUGCAGGUUUGGUCACCAUAUCUUAAAAAGGACAUUGUGGCCUUAGAAAAGGUGCAGCGUAGGGCCACAAAAAUGAUUCCUGGUCUUAGAGGAAUGUCAUACGAGGAACGGUUACUUGAGCUAAAUCUGUUCAGUCUCAAGCAAAGGAGAUUGAGGGGAGACAUGAUCCAGGUAUAUAAGAUUCUAACAGGUUUGGAUGCUGUUCAACCAAAUAGUUACUUCAGCAUUAGUUUAAAUACACGAACUCGUGGCCAUAGGUGGAAAUUAGCGGGAGAACAUUUCAAGCUGGAUUUAAGGAAGCACUUCUUUACGCAGCGUGUAGUCAGAGUAUGGAAUAGCCUUCCUGAUAAUGUAGUGCAAGCUGAAUCCUUGGGUUCCUUUAAAUCAGAGCUAGAUAAGAUUUUAACGACUCUGAGCUAUUAGUUUAGUUCUCCCCAAGCGAGCUUGAUGGGCCGAAUGGCCUCCUCUCGUUUGUAUAGUUCUUAUGUUCUUAUAAGAAGGCCUAUGAUGUCAUCUACUUAGAUUUCCAAAAGGCUUUUGAUGUUGUCCCCCACAAGAGGCUCCUACUUAAACUCAAAGCGACAGGUAUUUUAGGUACCGUAGCAACCUGGAUUGAUAACUGGUUAACAGAUAGGAAACAGCGAGUAGUUAUAAGAGGCACAAUUUCACAGUGGGCCUCCGUUCAUAGUGGGGUACCGCAGGGUUCGAUUUUAGGACCACUAUUGUUCCUAAUUUACAUAAAUGAUAUGGAUACCAAUAUAUACAGUAAACUGGUGAAAUUUGCAGAUGACACCAAGGUGGGUGGUGUAGCAGAUACUGAAUUAGCGGCUCAGCAGCUACAGCGGGAUCUUGAUUUAAUUAGUGACCGGGCCGAUACCUGGCAGAUGAAAUUUAACGUCGAAAAAUGUAAGGUACUCCAUCUAGGGAGCAGAAAUAUAAAGUACAGGUAUUUCAUGGGUGUCACUGAAAUAAAGGUAGCUGAUCAUGAGAAAGACCUUGGUGUGUAUGUUGAUGCUUCCAUGUCCCAUUCUCGCCAGUGUGGGGAAGCAAUAAAAAAGGCCAAUAGGAUGUUGGGGUAUAUCUCCAGGUGUGUGGAGUUUAAGUCAAGGGAGGUAAUGCUAAGAUUAUACAAUUCCUUGGUGAGACCUCACCUAGAAUAUUGUGUGCAGGUUUGGUCAUCAUAUCUUAAAAAGGACAUUGUGGCCUUAGAAAAGGUGCAGCGUAGGGCCACAAAAAUGAUUCCUGGUCUUAGAGGAAUGUCAUACGAGGAAAGGGCUAAAGCAAAGGAGACUGAGGGGGGACAUGAUCCAGGUAUAUAAGAUUCUAACAGGUUUGGAUGCUGUUCAACCAAAUAGUUACUUCAGCAUCAGUUUAAAUACACAAACUCGUGGCCAUAGGUGGAAAUUAGCGGGAGAACAUUUCAAGCUGGAUUUAAGGAAGCACUUCUUUACACAGCGCGUAGUCAGAGUAUGGAAUAGCCUUCCUGAUAACGUAGUGCAAGCUGAAUCCUUGGGUUCCUUUAAAUCAGAGCUAGAUAAGAUUUUAACGACUCUGAGCUAUUAGUUUAGUUCUCCCCAAGCGAGCUUGAUGGGCAGAAUGGCCUCCUCUCGUUUGUAUAGUUCUUAUGUUCUUAACUUAAUUCAUCCAUCCAUCCAUUUUCCAAACUGCUUAUCCUACUGGGUCACGGGGGAUCUGGAGACUAUCCCGGAAGCAAUGGGCACGAGGCAGGGAACAACCCAGGAUGGGCUGCCAGCCCAUCGCAGAGCGCACACACACACCAUCCACUCACAUGGACAACAGCAAGUCCAAUUAGCCUCAGCAUGUAUUUGGACUGUGGGGGAAAACCAGAGUACCCGGAGGACUUUGUACAUAUUGUGUUGGAUUUAUUUGAUAAUGUGGCUGCAUUUAUACAUUGAAAUGUCAUUCAUAUAUUGUU